UUUCUCGGUGUUGUUGUUUGUGUGUUUCCAUGGUAACGGCAGCAGCAGUGAAGGACGUGAAUCCUCGGUGUCUCUCAUCAUCUCGAGUUCGCUCUCUGAUUCUGUUCCCGUGUCGUUCCUGCAGCUGAACUGGGACUGCAGGACGGUUCAUGUUCCUGGUUCUGUAAAUCUGGACGGUUGAGGCGGGUCGGCGCCGUGGUCACUGACUGACCUUUCCCUGCAGUGACUGUCUCCAUCUUCACCUCCUGGUCUGUUGUUGGUCUCCUGGUUUGAUGAAUGUCUCUCAGUCCUCACGUCUUCGUCCCUCACAGACGCUCCUGUCACACCUUCUCUGAAACUCUUCCUCUCCAUCUUUAGACCCUCGGGGAUCAGCGCCGCAGCAACACGCCGCCUGUUUCCUGGUUCAGAACGAUCCUGUGGUGAUUCACUUCCUGUUCCCCUCCCAUCCUGCAGCUCUGGCUCCAGGAAGACCAACAAUUCAUCCAGGACCUCAAAGGUUUCCUAUCACACACACACACACACACACACACACAUGCACACACACACACACAUACACAUAUUGUCUUUGUUGUCUAUCACUGAUGUCUAAAAAGUAGAGACAUGGGGGGGGGACAGGGACACAAACAGACAAACUGUUGAUUUAUAUGAAGUGCUCUGUUAUUUAUACAGUAUAUAUAAAUAUAUAUAAUAUUACACUUAUAUUUUGACCCUCUUAGACCUACUUCCUGGUGUUAAACGUGUUAAUUUCCUUUUUUCUUUUUAGACUUUCAAACAUUUCAACCUUCUUUAAAUGAUAAUAAAAAACUUUAAUGAUUCAGACGUAACGAUCAAAAUUAAUCAGGAAAUGAUUGAAACUGUUGGUGUCUCUCCUGAAGGUUUUUCCUUCAUUUUAUUCCAGUUCUUCUUUAAAACGCUGAGAUUAGAUCUGAGAUUCUGGGUCCUGAAGGAGACCUGACCCUGUCUCGGUCUGCUGUGGUCUGAGUCCUGAUAACAGGGUCUGAGGGUCUCUCAGGUGUUUGGGAGUCCCUGUUCUGGUCCUGGUGUUCCUUCCCCGUAUCUCUGCUCACUAAUCUGCUUAGUUCCUCGCUGUGGUGAAUGUAAAUAUAGAAGUUCUGAUCCUCUUACAGGAGGACUUGGACCAGGAUUUGGAGACUCACAGCCUGUCAGCUGCAGUUCUGUUUCUGUGGUUUAGGGGGCGCUGUGUGUGCUGACUCCGCCUCUGUUGGCCUCUCUGUGUCCUGGAGACUGAAGCUUCACAAACUCAGAAACACUGAGAAAGAAAAUAAAGAAAAUAAGAAAAUUAAGAAAAUAAAGAAACAAAGAAAAUAAAGAAAAAAAGAAAACAAAGGAAACAAAGAAAAUUAAAACUUAAAGAAAAUUCAAAAAUAAAGAAAAAAAAAAUAAAGAAAAAAAAAAAAUAAAGAAAAUAAAAAAUAAAGAAAAUAAAAAAAUAAAGAAAAUAAAGGAAAUAAAGAAAAUAAAGGAAAUAAAGAAAAUAAAGAAAAUAAAAAAAUUAAGAAAAUAAAGAAAAUUAAAACUUGAAGAAAAUUCAAAAAUAAAGAAAAAAUAAAUAAAGAAAAUAAAAAAUAAAAAAAUAAAGAUAAAGAAAAUAAAAAGAAAAUUCAAAAAUAAAGAAAAAAUUAAAUAAAGAAAAUAAAGAAAAAAGAGAAAAUAAACAAAGAAAAUAAAAAAAAUAAAGAAAAUUAAAAAAUAAAAAAAUUAAGAAAAUAAAGAAAAUUAAAAAAUAAAAAACAAAGAAAAUUCAAAAAUAAAGAAAAAUUAAAUAAAGAAAAUAAAAAAAAUAAAGAAAAUAAAGAAAAUUAAAAAAUAAAGAAACAAACAAAACAAAGAGCUCUUUUACCCGACAACGAUCAGCUCGGCGUUUGUCUUCUUCAGUGUCAAACAGGAAACUCAAACAUCCAUCAGACGUUUUUUUCUGUUUGUCUCAGAUUCAGAUGUGAUGAGACCGUCUUUGAGACUCUGAUGUCCUCGUUGUCUUAUCGUGUUGGAGACAUGAACACAGUGAAGCUCAAAAACACACCAUCACUUAUCUGCGGUCCGUGUUUGACCUUCUUCUUCUUCAUCUUCAUCAGUCAGGACUGUGAGUGCUGCAGCUGAUACCAACGCCGCCGUCACUGUUAUGACCUCAUCUGUUAACUGAGGAUGACCUCACGUAUCAGCUGAUGGGUCAUGACCAUGAAGACUCAAAUACCUGCAGUUACAAACACACCUGUGCAUACGUUCACCUGUGCAGACGUUCACCUCAGAGUGAUUCAACACGUUCAUUUACAGCUGAACUUUGACCUCCUGUUUGUUUGUUUUCCUCAUAAUCUAAUCCGAGCGAGCUCACUGUCCCGUAAACAUCAGUUUGUUAGGAGACCUUCAGUCUGAGAGAUAGAAACCUCGGGACAGUCAGUCUGUGAAAACAUCUCAAAGUCUUCAGAAGGACGUUUGAGCGUGGAGACGCUGACGAACAUGAGCGCGGUUUACAGCAGAGCGUCAGUAUACACUCGAUAAAGACUGAGUUUGAAGAAUUAAAGUAUAAAAUAAAACACAGAAGUUCAACUCUGAGGAGAAAGUCAAAGCUGUGUAAAGACGAAGAACCGAACACUGAGACGGUUUUAGAGGAGAUGGUGUCAGGAGGUCACCACAGAGAAGGUCAUCAGAAGUUUGGGCUCCACAAAUCUAUUACUAAAUAAUCAUUGAUUAUCUGUUGACACUCCUGAUCACUGAAGCCGGUGAUGAGGACGAAUCAUUGACUAAUAUGAGGAAAUACUUUCUCAUGGUCGAACCUCGAAGAUCAGACCACAACAGUGUCUACAGAGACUCUGAGAACAAACGAGGAGUGUCCUUCAGCUGAGGGAGAACAAACUGACAUCAGGGCGGUGGUAUGUAGGUCCACAUGAGAGAGAGGGAGAGAGGGGGGGAGAGAAAGAGAGCGAGAGACAGAGAGAGAGAGAGAGAGGGAGAGAGAGAGAGAGAGAGAGAGAGGGGCCUUUGUGAGAGUGAGAGUGAGGGGACGAGAGCGUCAGUGUACCACCACACAAUCCACAGUGUGUGUGUGUGUGUGUGUGUGUGUGUGUGUGUGUGUGUGUGUGUGUGUGUGUGUGUGUGUGUGUGUGUGUGUGUGGGCUGGACUCCUCAUUUCAAUCAUUCGACUGUUGAACCACAGACCAGUAUCCGUGUGUUCCCACUACAGAUCCAUCUGGUGUCUGUUUGUCUCUUCAUGUGUGUGCAGCAUCUACACAGUCAGGUCUGAAGAUCUAGGUCCAGGUAGGAAGACUCACCUGUCCUGUUAAAACCGUCUCAGACUGUGUGAGCGAGAGAUCUCAGUGGAAGGACCACAAAACCUCAGAGCUCUAAAACAGAUCAGAAGAUUUCUGAAAGAGUUCCCCAAACCCAUGUAGACCACACCUCCCAAGGUCUCCAAGUGUUCCAGCAGACUUCUGAUGAGGUUCUCAGAGUUCAACAGUUAUCACUAAACCCUCAGACACAGACCUAACCGAGCUUUAAAACAGAGCUCAGACAGACUUUUAUAAUAGUUCUAACAACUGGACUCACUUGGGGUUCUUGAAGAGUUCUAGAGUUCUGACAGAGCCCUAAAGAAGGUCUAACAAAGCUCUCAAAGACUACAAACCAGGUUCUAACAGGGUUCCUCGAGAGCUCCAAAGAGUCAAAAAGAGUUCUUAGCCCCUCCAGGAGGAGUAUGAGCCCACAUAGUUCAGGUCUUUAAUAUCAGAAUCAUCCUUCAGAACAACAACAACAACAACAACAACAACAACAACAACAACAACAACAACAACAACAACAACAACCACAACAACAACAACAACCACAACAACAACAACAACCACAACAACAACAACAACAACAACCACAACAACAACAACCACAACAACAACAACAACAACAACAACAACCACAACAACAACAACAACAACAACAACAACCACAACAACAACAACAACAACAACAACAACAACAACAACAACCACCAUCACCUUCUCAGAAACGCAAACAUGUCUGUUCCUCGUUUGUCCUUUCUGUGCUGCCGUAGAAAUCUGUCUGUGCACGACGUCAGUGAACAAAAACAAGAGGACUUUAUAUUCAAAUACAGAAAUAUCAUUAUUAUAUUAUUAUAUUAUUAUUAUUAUAUUAUUAUUAUAUCAUUAUUAUAUUAUAAUAAUAUUAUUAUUAUAUUAUUAUUAUAUCAUUAUUAUAUCAUUAUUAUAUCAUUAUUAUAUUAUUAUUAUAUCAUUAUUAUAUCAUUAUUAUAUCAUUAUUAUAUCAUUAUUAUAUUAUUAUUAUAUCAUUAUUAUAUUAUUAUUAUAUCAUUAUAAUAUAAUUAUUACAUCAUUAUUAUAUUAUUAUUAUAUCAUUAUUAUAUUAUUAUCAUUAUAUUAUUAUUAUAUUAUUAUAAUAAUGUGAUGUUUCAUGUCCGUCCUCUUCUCCUGCGUCGGUCAAAUCUCUGUUUUCAGUUGUUGUUGUAGUUUAGUGAUCACAGACCUCCUCGGAUGGACUGACCCUCCUGUGGUGGUCUGUGUUCAGGGUUCAGGUUCAGUCUGUUAUGUAAUGACCGAGGAGGACAUGGACUGACAGACGAGUGUUCAGGGAAACACGUGUGGUCCGGUCCGGUCCGGUCCUUUGUGUGGAGGAUCACACUGUUUAUCUCUGUCAGCCUGAGAGUCUGGGACUGACACACACACACACACACACACACACACACACACACACACUGCUAUUUCCUGUCCUGGAGAAAGAAUUCCAGCCGUCACCGCUCUCAUCCUGGGAAGACUCCUCCUUUCCUUUCCUUCUUUCCUGUCCUUCGUUCCCUCGGUGUCUCUCUGUCCGUUGGUCUGAGGUUACUUUAGUUCAAGUCUAUGUUCUCCUCCUGGUUCCAUGGUUCCGGUCCUCGCCCUGGUCCGUUUCUCCUCCGUUUCUCCUCCUCACGCUCCUCUCUGUUCACAAACGUUUCUGUGAUUUCCUCUUCAGAGUAAACAAACACUUGAGUCUGACUCCAGGGUCCAGACUCUGAGUCUGAGUCUGAGUCUGAGUCUGAGUCUGCUCUCAAACUGUCUCCCUUUUAUAAGAAACUCUGAACUGAGAGUUAAAGUGGUUCUGUUGGUUCUGUUGGUUCUGUUGGUCCUGCUGUGUAUUUUCGGACUGUAAACAUGGUCAGACGGGUCCAUGAGAGUCGGACUCUGUUUCCUGCAGUAAUCAUCUCUCCUGUUGCAUAACUUGUUUUUCUUAUUAAUGUUUUUCCCUGUUAUGAAGUUCAGAGAAUAAACACGUGGACCGUGUGAGUCCUGAUCCGUUUGUACGGUGGCCGAGAACGGUGCAGAUAAAAAAAGAAAAGGCACAACGGACGUUCAUGAUGCAAAAAAAAAAGUGUCGACUUCUGUCACUUCUGUCACUUCUGUCACUUCUGUUCAGUAACUUCUGUUGUGACUUUGUCUUCAUGUUAUUCCCUGAAUGUUGAUUGGAUGUUUCUUUGAGUUCGGCUCAGAACGACUCAGUAAACGAUGAAAAUCGAUCCUCAUUUUUCUGCAGGACUGAUCGACCAGCAUGAGGGACUCAGACCCUUUUAGACAGCAUCAUUAGAGCUAACAUGAAGGCUGAUAUUUGUGCUGAUGUUUAUAUUCAUAUUAAUGCUGAUAUCACAGUCAGGAUCUGCUGAAUCCAGCUGACCACAUCACCCCUCACCUCUGUGUCAGCAAAGUCUACACCAACAACUCCUAAACCAAAACCCCAUCCUGAGCUUCAGUACGACCUCCCAGCACCUUCAUCCCUAACAACAACAACAACACGACAACAACACACACACACACACACACACACACACACACACACACGUCUGGACUCUCCCUGUUGUGGUCUUUGUUUCUGGACUCCAUGUUCAGAUAAACUCAGGGUUAUAAUUCUGAAUGACCUUCAGCUGACUGUGGUCGCCCGUCAAUCAGUCUGUCAGUAUACCCCCCUCACACACACACACACACACACACAAACACACACACACGCACACACACACACACACACACACACACGUUCCCAGAGACUCCAACAUCAACAUCUUCACUUCCUGUUGUUGAGCGACUGAACCAACCACCGGAUAAAAUUAAAAGUGACCGUGGUUGGCAUGUUCCAAAACACUUACCCACUCUAACAAACAACACACACACUUACACACAGACACACACUUACACACAGACAAACACACACACAUUUUACUACACACCGUUCCUCCACCACAGUGUUUCACAGAGAUAAAGACCGGAGAGAGUUUAGAGCUUUCCAUCUGCCAAGUUUCCCACUGUUCCCGAAAAACCUGAUGCUUUAGCAAACACACACACACACACACACACACACACACACACACACACACACACACACACACACACACACACACACACACACACACACACACACACACCUUGUCACUCCUGGAAGCUCUCCAGAAUAAGCGAAGCUCGACUUGGAUGUUUGUUGUUUUAGUAGUUUGGCUGAAGUUCCCAGGUUGACUGUGUCACUUACACACACACACACACACACACACACACACAUAUAUAUAUAUAUAUAUAUAUAUAUAACCACAUAUGUUUGUACUGUACACUGUCCCCUUUAAUGAGACGCACAGACCGUGACCUUUGACCUUUGAGCCUUGACUAACAGAAAAGCUUGUUAGAGGGAACACAUGUAUUUAUUUUAUAUAUUCAUAAUUAUGUAUUUUUAAUUGUGUUUAUAUAUUAUAUUUAUAAUUAUAUAUUUAUAUUUAUCUGUAUUUAUUUUAUAUAUUUAUUAUUAUAUAUUUAUAUGUUAUUGUAUUUUUAUUACAUAUUUAUUAUUAUAUAAUAAUAAUAAUCUGUAUUUAUAUUAUAUAUUCAUAAUAAUAUAUUUAUAUUUAUCUGUAUUUAUUUUAUAUAUUUAUUAUAAUAUAUUUAUAUUUAUCUGUAUUUAUUUUAUAUAUUUAUUAUAAUAUAUUUAUAUUUAUCUGUAUUUAUUUUAUAUAUUCAUUAUUAUAUAUUUAUAUGUUAUUGUAUUUUUCUUCCUGCAGAGCCUGAUGAGGUUUUAUUGAUGAAUCUUUAGAGAAUCGUGUUUUCUGGGCAGACUGUAGGCCCAAAGUUAGUCUUUAUAAAAUGGUGAUUUGUACUUGAUUUGAGCUGCAGGGGCGUGUCUAGAAGAGGUGGUCAGAGGCAGCGUGGACCCCCCAGGGGCCAAGACCUUCAGGUCUGAGCGGCUCCUCUGUGACAGCAGGUUAGUUCAUGAUCAUUAAAAAACCUUUUCUUUAAAAUGGUGAGAAAUAAAACUUUAUAUUUCUGUUAUUAGAGAGGAGACACUAACGGUUAUUACAGCUCAUGUUUGAUCAUGUUUGUUAUUUUAAACCUUUGAGACUCGUUUAUACAUUUUUAAUUUCAGGAGAUUUAAAUAAACUGAACUUUAAACAUGAAAACAGAAGAACUGUUACACAGUUACUCUGCAGUAAAGAGGCAAAGUGAGCGUGUGCAGUAACCACGUCCCUCCUUCUUUCUGUUCAGAUCUGCAGAACUCGGACCCCGGGUUCAGACUGAGGCCCUGGUCCUGGUCCUGGUUCAGACUGAGGCCCUGGUCCUGGUUCAGACUGAGGCCCUGGUCCUGGUUCAGACUCAGAGAUAAGUCCGGACCUCCGGCCCCCUCCCUUCCUCUCUUUCUCUGGUUUUGUCUAUUUCUGAGUGUUUGUUCCAGGUGGGCGGGGACUCUGACCUUCAGAGUGACCCCUGAGCCCUGACAGGGGGGGGGGG